GCCUGUGGCGGUCACUGCCAACAGCAAGCCCACCCGCGCCCGCUUGUGCUGGGACCCAGCGGUCCUGCCCUGCGAAGGGUUCGCUCCGAGACAACAUGAGAGGAGAGAAACACUUGGGGCGAAGCCACUGAGCACCUGGAUUCCUGUGUGUUUGGAGGAUGCCCUGCACUGCAAGUCUUGGUGAAGGGCAAAGACCGUUUCCUUGUCCCAGUUGGAGCUGAAAAUGCCAGACACACAUUCAAAGCCUCUCUUGCAGGCAGCACUCAGGCCUGGGACCCAGGCGCCACCAUUAGCCUCAGAACGGCUACCGCAGAGUCUGCUGAGACACAGCAGCUGCACGUGUCAGAGCUCCUAAAUGCGGACGUGUAAUGGCCGUUGUGAAUGUCACUUUAAUGUCACUCAGCAGAGAUUAUAUUAUUCUUAAACAUGGAUAAAAUGUAUAAUUCCAAGA